rnacentral:rRNA from 1 species
AGGGAAUUUUCCACAAUGGACGAAAGUCUGAUGGAGCAACGCCGCGUGAACGAUGAAGGUCUUCGGAUUGUAAAGUUCUGUUGUCAGGGACGAACAAGUACCGUUCGAACAGGGCGGUACCUUGACGGUACCUGACGAGAAAGCCACGGCUAACUACGUGCCAGCAGCCGCGGUAAUACGUAGGUGGCAAGCGUUGUCCGGAAUUAUUGGGCGUAAAGCGCGCGCAGGCGGCUAUGUAAGUCUGGUGUUAAAGCCCGGGGCUCAACCCCGGUUCGCAUCGGAAACUGUGUAGCUUGAGUGCAGAAGAGGAAAGCGGUAUUCCACGUGUAGCGGUGAAAUGCGUAGAGAUGUGGAGGAACACCAGUGGCGAAGGCGGCUUUCUGGUCUGUAACUGACGCUGAGGCGCGAAAGCGUGGGGAGCAAAC